GAGGGUAUAGCUCAGUGGUAGAGUGCAUAUUUAGCAUGCAUGAGGUCCUGGGUUCAAUCCCCAGAACCUCCU
rnacentral:tRNA from 1 species